UACGGAGGGAGCUAGCGUUGUUCGGAAUUACUGGGCGUAAAGCGCGCGUAGGCGGCUUUGUAAGUUAGAGGUGAAAGCCCGGGGCUCAACCCCGGAACUGCGUCCGAUACUGGAAGGCUUGAAUCCGGGAGAGGGAUGCGGAAUUCCUGGUGUAGCGGUGAAAUGCGCAGAUAUCAGGAGGAACACCGGUGGCGAAAGCGCUCUACUGGGCCAUAACUGACACUCAGGGACGAAAGCUAGGGGAGCGAAUGGG
rnacentral:rRNA from 1 species